UUAUCCUGCCUCCUCUAAAAAGACACCCGUCUCUUGUUGUGUGAAGCACUUUGAGCUGCAUUCUAUGUCAUGAAAGGUGCUACAUAAAUAAAGUUAAGUAUAAGGACAAUUCAAUUCGACAAUUCAAUUGCAUAUGUAUAUCAACUUGUAAUGAAGUAACGGCAUGGUGCUGGAUGGCUGGAUGAAAAUAUUCCAUGCACUUGCAAUAAAGCCAACUACACAAGUUUUCCUCAGCAUUCUUUAAUAUGUCCAUGAUUCUGGUAAUCCCCCAAUAGUUUACAAUGGUCAUUUGUACAUCACUUCAAUCUAAAGUUUAAAAUUGCAUUGCUAACAUGAUCGCUAAGCCUAACAAAUGACUUAGCUCUUUAAGCCAAUUCACUUUUUUACUAAUUUUAUUGUUAUAAAUUAUUCGUUUAGAAAUAAUCUUUCACAUACCUGUAACGUGAUACAUUGGAACCCGUUCGAUGCACGCAGUUGAUAGCAGCACAACCACCACCGGGCAUUUUCGGAUUAAUCGAUGAUUAUCUUCAAGUGAGUUCGGUGGAAAAGGGAGAAUGUUCGCAUGAUCAUCAAUGUAUAGAGGUAGGGUUGCCCAUCCCCCACUCCGAUCUACCGUCUCUUUAAUAGGUCCAUGUUCCAUGUGCGCAGCAUCGGCUCAUCGAAAUCGUAAGUUUAGGCUUAACAUUUUAAAGUUUCUUAUGAGUUUUGCAUAAAAUAUAUUUCUUAAUAGACAUCUAUAAUGUUAAAUAAUGUAAAACAUUACAGCUAUCCAGAAAUAUUAAAGUAUGCUACCAUUGGAUGUCUACAGUGGAUGUUUGCUAGGUACCUUAAUCCUUUUUUCUUAUAUUUAUAUUGUAGCUAUUGCAAAUCAAAUGGAAAAGACAAGGGCUGGAGUACCAGGGCAACCCCCUAUUAAAAGGCCAGAAGUGUGGAUUAUCGGGGACAGCUACGUCCGCCGUGGAGAGGAGAGAGCCAAGGAAACCUGUGGCCCCCACCUUGGCCUAGAAGCCAGGGUCAGUUGGUUUGGCUGGGGCGGGCUGAGAUGGAAGACCCUCAUCCCUUUCUUCCUGCAGUCCCUGAGAGGAAGAACAGCCCCGGAUGUCCUGCUCAUCCACUGUGGCAGCAACGACCUCGGACGCCUGGAGGGAGUUGAGGUUGUUGCCGCAAUGAAGCAGGACCUGCAGUACCUCCACCGGCAGUUCCCAGCAAUGCAGAUCGUCUACUCUAACAUCAACGAGAGACGCCGGUGGAGGGCUGACCAUCCGGGGAAGCUAAAUCACGCUAGGAAAUGGGUGAACAGUGUGAUGAACGCAUUUGUUAGUGUAGAGCUAGGAGGCAACAGCGUAGAGCAUCCUGGAAUAAGGUUUAACUGCUGUGAUUUAUACUUAAAAGACAAGGUUCAUUUCACCAAUAGGGGAAAUGAAUUUUUUUUAAAAAGCAUUUCAGUCUCUUGAAGCGAUAAUCCAGAGUGGGUGAAACUGACACUUUUAGGACCAAUGCCUUCAGCCUUCUCCACUCUGAAUUGUAAUUUCAACAGUUUUCAAUACUGUAAGAUAUAAUCCAGGUCCUUAAUCUUUAUUCGAUGAUGCUCUUCUCUGCGUAUUUGAUAAAUCAGUAAUUAUAACAUUUUUGGAAAUCAUUUGCGUUUAUCACACUGUUCAUUCAUUUCACUGUUCUUCCUCUCAUUCCUUUCCUUACUUCUUCUUUAGGCUACCUGUCUUUGUUUCCCCUUCCACUCUUCUGCCCCAGCCAAACAGCCAAAAAAAGUGUUUUGUUAAAAUUUGGGGUGGGGGGUCUUGUAAUAAAAGCUUUUUUUAUUGUAA